UACGUAGGGGGGCAAGCGUUGUCCGGAUUUAUUGGGCGUAAAGAGCGUGUAGGCGGCUAGGUAGGUCCGUUGUGAAAACUCGAGGCUCAACCUCGAGCUGUCGAUGGAAACCAUCUGGCUAGAGUCCGGAAGAGGAGAGUGGAAUUCCUGGUGUAGCGGUGAAAUGCGCAGAUAUCAGGAAGAACACCCGUGGCUAAGGCGGCUCUCUAGUACGGUACUGACGCUGAGACGCGAAAGCGUGGGGAGCGAACAGG
rnacentral:rRNA from 1 species